GGAUGCAUGGCUCAAGUGGAAAAGAGUACUUGCCUAGCAAGCAUGAGGCCCUGAGUUCAAUCCCCAGUACUGCCA
rnacentral:tRNA from 1 species